AUGGUAGGAUAGAGGCCUACCAUGGUGGUAACGGGUAACGGGGUGUUAGGGCACGACACCGGAGAGGGAGCCUGAGAAACGGCUACCACAUCCAAGGAUGGCAGCAGGCGCGCAAAUUACCCAAUCCCGACACGGGGAGGUAGUGACAAUAAAUAACAAUACGGGGUUCUCUAGGAUCUCGUAAUUGGAAUGAGUACAAUUUAAAUCUCUUAACGAGGAACAAUUGGAGGGCAAGUCUGGUGCCAGCAGCCGCGGUAAUUCCAGCUCCAAUAGCGUAUAUUAAAGUUGUUGCAGUUAAAAAGCUCGUAGUUGAAUUUCGGGGUCAGUAGGUCGGUCGUGCCACUGGUAUGAACUGGUUUUACUGAUUCCUCCCUCUUGAAGAACUGUAAUGCCAUUAAUUUGGUGUUGCAGGGAAUCAGGACUGUUACUUUGAAAAAAUUAGAGUGUUUAAAGCAGGCUUUAGCUUGAAUACAUUAGCAUGGAAUAAUGAAAUAGGACGUUUGAUCCUAUUUUGUUGGUUUCUAGGAUUGACGUAAUGAUUAAUAGGGAUAGUUGGGGGCAUUAGUAUUCAAUUGUCAGAGGUGAAAUUCUUGGAUUUAUUGAAGACUAACUACUGCGAAAGCAUUUGCCAAGGAUGUUUUCAUUAAUCAAGAACGAAAGUUAGGGGAUCGAAGACGAUCAGAUACCGUCGUAGUCCUAACCAUAAACUAUGCCGACUAGGGAUCGGAUGAUGUUAAUUUUUUAAUGACUCAUUCGGCGCCUUACGGGAAACCAAAGUGUUUGGG
rnacentral:rRNA from 1 species